GCUCAAGUGAGUGAAAGAGGAUGGUGACACCCACACACUGUCAAAGUCAUCGUUGUAGCAAUGCCUCAUCUGGAAAAGAGUUUUAAUAGGGCACCAGACAGAUCACAGAUCAUCAACGCAAACCUGCUACAAAACCCGGACUGGUAUUCAUGGACGGACUGAACUGGAUUCGGUUUGAUGGUGAUGAGUUGGAAGCAACCCAAGAGGGGCAGUGGCCCUGGUGGCAGUAGUGAAUGAAGAUCAGGUUAGUUUACUGGCCUGAGUACAGUCCUCACAGUUUAAGUGAGGACACGCACCGCGGCCGCGG